AUUGAACGCUGGCGGCAGGCCUAACACAUGCAAGUCGAGCGGAUGAAGGGAGCUUGCUCCUGGAUUCAGCGGCGGACGGGUGAGUAAUGCCUAGGAAUCUGCCUGGUAGUGGGGGAUAACGUCCGGAAACGGGCGCUAAUACCGCAUACGUCCUGAGGGAGAAAGUGGGGGAUCUUCGGACCUCACGCUAUCAGAUGAGCCUAGGUCGGAUUAGCUAGUUGGUGGGGUAAAGGCCUACCAAGGCGACGAUCCGUAACUGGUCUGAGAGGAUGAUCAGUCACACUGGAGCUGAGACACGGUCCAGACUCCUACGGGAGGCAGCAGUGGGGAAGAUUGGACAAUGGGCGAAAGCCUGAUCCAGCCAUGCCGCGUGUGUGAAGAAGGUCUUCGGAUUGUAAAGCACUUUAAGUUGGGAGGAAGGGCAGUAAGUUAAUACCUUGCUGUUUUGACGUUACCAACAGAAUAAGCACCGGCUAACUUCGU
rnacentral:rRNA from 1 species